UACGUAGGGGGCUAGCGUUGUCCGGAAUCAUUGGGCGUAAAGCGCGUGUAGGCGGCCCGGUAAGUCCGCUGUGAAAGUCGGGGGCUCAACCCUCGAAUGCCGGUGGAUACUGUCGGGCUCGAGUGCGGAAGAGGCGAGUGGAAUUCCUGGUGUAGCGGUGAAAUGCGCAGAUAUCAGGAGGAACACCUGUGGUGUAGACAGCUUACUGGACCACGACUGACGCUGAGACACGAAAGCGUGGGUAGCAAACAGG
rnacentral:rRNA from 1 species